rnacentral:lncRNA from 1 species
CGGGGCCAGCCGAGGCCUGGGGUUGGCCUAACGCCUAAGGGCCCGAGGAGCUUGUUGGGACGUUCAGGAGACCCCGAGGUGGGAGGUUUUGGACACAACCCGCAUCUCCUCAGAGCGCCUUCGACUCUGGAGGCCGCCGUGUGACGGCCUGACACAGGGCUGCGUGGCUAAGACCUUCAGUACAGAUUAGAAUAAAAUGGAGAAAUUGAAGGUGAGAAUAUGCCCAAAGUUGCCUGAUGGAAGACGACUGUGCUUCCCUGUGAAGAAUGGAUUUCAGGGUGACAGUCCAGACACGUCAG